GCGGGUAGUGGAGAGGGGAAGGCCAGGGCAGAGGCGGGGACCCCCCCCCCAGAUACUUGGCCUGGAUUCCUGAGCCCAGGUUACGUAACACCUGAGGAGAACUAGGCUCCCCUGUCACCCGCACCUUUUCCCUUUCUGUGGAGCAUUUCACAGCCACAGCUGCCUCUCGGAGCAGGGCUAUUUUGGGAGCUGUUUUCAUCUGACCUAUAUUAAGCACCGUCACAAGGCAGAGGCGAGGUGUGGGAGCAGGGGGCCCGCUGGCUCCUCGUGCCUCUUUUAGUGUCAAGGGUGAGACAACGGGGUGAGCCAGGGCCGGGCACUGUAGAGUUGAGGCUGAGUGGCCCAGGCCUCUCUCACCAGGGCACCCAGUGACCCCACAGAGCCCUAGGCGUGGGCGGCCUCCCUUGCUCUAGGACGGCCCAGACCUCCACCCAAUUUCACAGUUCUGAUUUCCUGCCCUCCACAGGACAGGGAGGGACUUCCAUUUCCUCAAAGCCUAGAAGCUACCUGGCCUGGCCAGGGUGAGGUCAGAGCCUAUGAAAGGGAGUUAGCAGGGUUUCAAAGGCCGCCAGGCCAGCCUCGGGCCUCUCCCUUGGGACUCCCCUUUCCUGCGUUCAUCAUUAAACCCCAUGACCAGCAGGGGGCGAGAAAGGGCCACCGAGAGACCAUUUUUGAGGGCCUGUAGAUGCAGUGACCAGGAAAGACAGCGGCCUGGGGCUAGGCUUUGGUGUGAGGCUGGCCUGCGGUGGGGAGAGGCUCCCGGGUGCAGGGGCUGCGGUUCCUGUGGUGCAGCGACAGUGGACAGAGGGGGCUAUGAGCCACACGCAGAAGCGGGAGGAGAUCAGAGUGCGCAAACUUGACUCUGAGGGUGGCGGACUUGAGUUGGGAGAGAGAUGGGCAGAGCCUGCCGGCAGGACACACCCAGAGGUGAGGUACAGCACAGCACCUCACACAGGUACGUGGGAUGCUGGGGAAGUACAGCUGUCCCUAUUCAUCUGCAGAUUUGCUUUCUGAGCUCUCUGUUACCAAAGACAGGCUGUGGUCCAAAAACAUUAAGUGGAAAAUUCCAGAAAUAACCAGCCCAUAAGAUUUAGGCUUAGUAGCAUGAUAAAAUCCUGCAUCGCCCCACCCAGGACAGGCACCGGCCCUUCAUCCAGCC
rnacentral:lncRNA from 1 species